rnacentral:rRNA from 1 species
GACGAACGCUGGCGGCGCGCUUAACACAUGCAAGUCGAGCGAUGAAAUUUCGACAGAUCCCUUCGGGGUGAAGAUGAAGUGGAUUAGCGGCGGACGGGUGAGUAACACGUGAGUAACCUGCCUUUGACAUUGGGAUAGCCUCGGGAAACUGGGAUUAAUACCAAAUGACACUAACUGAUCACAUGAUCAAUUAGUCAAAGAAAUUCGGUCAAAGAUGGACUCGCGGCUGAUUAGCUAGUUGGUGAGGUAACGGCCCACCAAGGCGACGAUCAGUAGCCGGCCUGAGAGGGUGAGCGGCCACAUUGGAGCUGAGACACGGUCCAAACUCCUACGGGAGGCAGCAGUGGGGAAUAUAGCACAAUGGGGGAAACCCUGAUGCAGCGACGCCGCGUGAGCGAAGAAGGCCGUCGGGUCGUAAAGCUCUUUUAUGAGGGAAGAUAAUGACGGUACCUAAAGAAAAAGCCCCGGCUAACUACGUG